GACGAACGCUGGCGGCGUGCUUAACACAUGCAAGUCGAACGGAAAGGCCCUGCUCUUGUGGGUUGCUCGAGUGGCGAACGGGUGAGUAACACGUGAGUAACCCGUCCUUGACUUUGGGAUAACUUCAGGAAACUGGGGCUAAUACCCGAUAGGAUCUCCUGCUGCAUGGUGGGCGUUGGAAAGUUUCGGCGGUUGGGGAUGGUCUCGCGGGUUAUCCGCUUGUUGGUGGGGUAGUGGCUUACCAAGGGUUUGACGGAUAGCCGGCCUGAGAGGGUGACCGGCCACAUUGGGACUGAGAUACGGCCCAGACUCCUACGGGAGGCAGCAGUGGGGAAUAUUGCACAAUGGGCGGAAGCCUGAUGCAGCAACGCCGCGUGCGGGAUGACGGCCUUCGGGUUGUAAACCGCUUUCGCCUGUGACGAAGCGUGAGUGACGGUAAUGAGUAAAGAAGCACCGGCUAACUACGUG
rnacentral:rRNA from 1 species